rnacentral:rRNA from 1 species
GACGAACCGUGCGAACGUUAUUCGGAAUCACUGGGCUUAAAGCGCGUGUAGGCGGGAAGGCACGUCCGUUGCUGAAAUCCCCCGGCUCAACCGGGGAACGGGCGCGGAUACGACCUUCCUGGAGGGACGUUGGGGGACCUGGAACUUCCGGUGGAGCGGUGAAAUGCGUUGAGAUCGGAAGGAACGCCCGUGGCGAAAGCGAGGUCCUGGACGUCUGCUGACGCUGAGACGCGAAAGCCAGGGGAGCGAACGGG